CCUACGGGUGGCAGCAGUGAGGAAUAUUGGUCAAUGGACGAGAGUCUGAACCAGCCAAGUAGCGUGAAGGAUGACUGCCCUAUGGGUUGUAAACUUCUUUUAUAUGGGAAUAAAAUGUUCCACGUGUGGGAUUUUGUAUGUACCAUAUGAAUAAGGAUCGGCUAACUCCGUGCCAGCAGCCGCGGUAAUACGGAGGAUCCGAGCGUUACCCGGAUUUAUUGGGUUUAAAGGGAGCGUAGGUGGAUUGUUAAGUCAGUUGUGAAAGUUUGCGGCUCAACCGUAAAAUUGCAGUUGAAACUGGCAGUCUUGAGUACAGUAGAGGUGGGCGGAAUUCGUGGUGUAGCGGUGAAAUGCUUAGAUAUCACGAAGAACUCCGAUUGCGAAGGCAGUUCACUGGACUGCAACUGACACUGAGGCUCGAAAGUGUGGGUAUCAAACAGGAUUAGAUACCCUUGUAGUC
rnacentral:rRNA from 1 species